rnacentral:misc_RNA from 1 species
GAUGAAGAACGUAGCGAAAUGCGAUAAGUAAUGUGAAUUGCAGAAUUCAGUGAAUCAUCGAGUCUUUGAACGCACAAUGCGCCCCCUGGUAUUCCGGGGGGCAUGCCUGUCCGAGCGUCAUUGCUGCCCUCAAGCACGGCUUGUGUGUUGGGCCUCCGCCCCCCGGCUCCCGGGGGGCGGGCCCGAAAGGCAGCGGCGGCACCGCGUCCGGUCCUCGAGCGUAUGGGGCUUCGUCACCCGCUCCGUAGGCCCGGCCGGCGCCCGCCGGCGACCCCCCUCAAUCUUUCCAGGUUGACCUCGGAUCAGGUAGGGAUACCCGCUGAACUUAAGCAUAUCAAUAAGCGGAGGA